AACGAACGCUGGCGGCAGGCUUAACACAUGCAAGUCGAACGCCCCGCAAGGGGAGUGGCGCACGGGUGAGGAACACGUGGGGAUCUGCCCUUCAGUUCGGAACAACACCGGGAAACUGGUGCUAAUACCGGAUAUACCUUUUGGUCUUGGCGACCGAUUGGGAAAGAUUUAUCGCUGAAGGAUGAACCCGCGUCUGAUUAGCUAGUUGGUGAGGUAACGGCUCACCAAGGCGACGAUCAGUAGCUGGUCUAAGAGGACGAUCAGACACACUGGAACGGAGACACGGUCCAGACUCCGACGGGAGGCAGCAGUGGGGAAUAUUGGACAAUGGGCGAAAGCCGGAUCCAGCCAGGCCGCGUGAGUGAUGAAGGCCUGCGGGUUGUAAAGCUCUUUUAGAUGGGAAGAACAUGACGGUACCAUCAGAAUAAGCCCCGGCUAACUUCGUGCCAGCCGCCGCCGUAA
rnacentral:rRNA from 1 species